rnacentral:rRNA from 1 species
CAGUCGCCGCGGGAAUACGAAGGUCCCAAGCGUUGUUCGGAAUCACUGGGCGUAAAGGGAGCGUAGGCGGCGUGGUAAGUCAGAUGUGAAAUCCCGGGGCUCAACCCCGGAACUGCAUCCGAUACUGCCAUGCUUGAGGGUUGGAGAGGUAGCUGGAAUUCUUGGUGUAGCAGUGAAAUGCGUGGAUAUCAAGAGGAACACUCGUGGCGAAGGCGAGCUACUGGACAACAUCUGACGCUGAGGCUCGAAGGCCAGGGUAGCGAAAGGGAUUAGAUACCCCUGUAGUCCCUGUCUCUUAUAC